UUAAGCGACUAAGCGUACACGGUGGAUGCCCUGGCAGUCAGAGGCGAUGAAGGACGUGCUAAUCUGCGAUAAGCGUCGGUAAGGUGAUAUGAACCGUUAUAACCGGCGAUUUCCGAAUGGGGAAACCCAGUGUGAUUCGUCACACUAUCAUUAACUGAAUCCAUAGGUUAAUGAGGCGAACCGGGGGAACUGAAACAUCUAAGUACCCCGAGGAAAAGAAAUCAACCGAGAUUCCCCCAGUAGCGGCGAGCGAACGGGGAGCAGCCCAGAGCCUGAAUCAGUGUGUGUGUUAGUGGAAGCGUCUGGAAAGGCGCGCGAUACAGGGUGACAGCCCCGUACACAAAAAUGCACAUGCUGUGAGCUCGAUGAGUAGGGCGGGACACGUGGUAUCCUGUCUGAAUAUGGGGGGACCAUCCUCCAAGGCUAAAUACUCCUGACUGACCGAUAGUGAACCAGUACCGUGAGGGAAAGGCGAAAAGAACCCCGGCGAGGGGAGUGAAAAAGAACCUGAAACCGUGUACGUACAAGCAGUGGGAGCCUCUUUAUGGGGUGACUGCGUACCUUUUGUAUAAUGGGUCAGCGACUUAUAUUCUGUAGCAAGGUUAACCGAAUAGGGGAGCCGAAGGGAAACCGAGUCUUAACUGGGCGUUAAGUUGCAGGGUAUAGACCCGAAACCCGGUGAUCUAGCCAUGGGCAGGUUGAAGGUUGGGUAACACUAACUGGAGGACCGAACCGACUAAUGUUGAAAAAUUAGCGGAUGACUUGUGGCUGGGGGUGAAAGGCCAAUCAAACCGGGAGAUAGCUGGUUCUCCCCGAAAGCUAUUUAGGUAGCGCCUCGUGAAUUCAUCUCCGGGGGUAGAGCACUGUUUCGGCAAGGGGGUCAUCCCGACUUACCAACCCGAUGCAAACUGCGAAUACCGGAGAAUGUUAUCACGGGAGACACACGGCGGGUGCUAACGUCCGUCGUGAAGAGGGAAACAACCCAGACCGCCAGCUAAGGUCCCAAAGUCAUGGUUAAGUGGGAAACGAUGUGGGAAGGCCCAGACAGCCAGGAUGUUGGCUUAGAAGCAGCCAUCAUUUAAAGAAAGCGUAAUAGCUCACUGGUCGAGUCGGCCUGCGCGGAAGAUGUAACGGGGCUAAACCAUGCACCGAAGCUGCGGCAGCGACGCUUAUGCGUUGUUGGGUAGGGGAGCGUUCUGUAAGCCUGCGAAGGUGUGCUGUGAGGCAUGCUGGAGGUAUCAGAAGUGCGAAUGCUGACAUAAGUAACGAUAAAGCGGGUGAAAAGCCCGCUCGCCGGAAGACCAAGGGUUCCUGUCCAACGUUAAUCGGGGCAGGGUGAGUCGACCCCUAAGGCGAGGCCGAAAGGCGUAGUCGAUGGGAAACAGGUUAAUAUUCCUGUACUUGGUGUUACUGCGAAGGGGGGACGGAGAAGGCUAUGUUGGCCGGGCGACGGUUGUCCCGGUUUAAGCGUGUAGGCUGGUUUUCCAGGCAAAUCCGGAAAAUCAAGGCUGAGGCGUGAUGACGAGGCACUACGGUGCUGAAGCAACAAAUGCCCUGCUUCCAGGAAAAGCCUCUAAGCAUCAGGUAACAUCAAAUCGUACCCCAAACCGACACAGGUGGUCAGGUAGAGAAUACCAAGGCGCUUGAGAGAACUCGGGUGAAGGAACUAGGCAAAAUGGUGCCGUAACUUCGGGAGAAGGCACGCUGAUAUGUAGGUGAAGUCCCUUGCGGAUGGAGCUGAAAUCAGUCGAAGAUACCAGCUGGCUGCAACUGUUUAUUAAAAACACAGCACUGUGCAAACACGAAAGUGGACGUAUACGGUGUGACGCCUGCCCGGUGCCGGAAGGUUAAUUGAUGGGGUCAGCGCAAGCGAAGCUCUUGAUCGAAGCCCCGGUAAACGGCGGCCGUAACUAUAACGGUCCUAAGGUAGCGAAAUUCCUUGUCGGGUAAGUUCCGACCUGCACGAAUGGCGUAAUGAUGGCCAGGCUGUCUCCACCCGAGACUCAGUGAAAUUGAACUCGCUGUGAAGAUGCAGUGUACCCGCGGCAAGACGGAAAGACCCCGUGAACCUUUACUAUAGCUUGACACUGAACAUUGAGCCUUGAUGUGUAGGAUAGGUGGGAGGCUUUGAAGUGUGGACGCCAGUCUGCAUGGAGCCGACCUUGAAAUACCACCCUUUAAUGUUUGAUGUUCUAACGUGGACCCGUGAUCCGGGUUGCGGACAGUGUCUGGUGGGUAGUUUGACUGGGGCGGUCUCCUCCUAAAGAGUAACGGAGGAGCACGAAGGUUGGCUAAUCCUGGUCGGACAUCAGGAGGUUAGUGCAAUGGCAUAAGCCAGCUUGACUGCGAGCGUGACGGCGCGAGCAGGUGCGAAAGCAGGUCAUAGUGAUCCGGUGGUUCUGAAUGGAAGGGCCAUCGCUCAACGGAUAAAAGGUACUCCGGGGAUAACAGGCUGAUACCGCCCAAGAGUUCAUAUCGACGGCGGUGUUUGGCACCUCGAUGUCGGCUCAUCACAUCCUGGGGCUGAAGUAGGUCCCAAGGGUAUGGCUGUUCGCCAUUUAAAGUGGUACGCGAGCUGGGUUUAGAACGUCGUGAGACAGUUCGGUCCCUAUCUGCCGUGGGCGCUGGAGAACUGAGGGGGGCUGCUCCUAGUACGAGAGGACCGGAGUGGACGCAUCACUGGUGUUCGGGUUGUCAUGCCAAUGGCACUGCCCGGUAGCUAAAUGCGGAAGAGAUAAGUGCUGAAAGCAUCUAAGCACGAAACUUGCCCCGAGAUGAGUUCUCCCUGACUCCUUGAGAGUCCUGAAGGAACGUUGAAGACGACGACGUUGAUAGGCCGGGUGUGUAAGCGCAGCGAUGCGUUGAGCUAACCGGUACUAAUGAACCGUGAGGCUUAACCUU
rnacentral:rRNA from 1 species